GACUACCAUUGCUGGUGGCCUUAUGCUCCUAAACAUCCAUGCUAAUCCAAACCAGAAAUAGUAACAUAUGAAUAAUUUGCAUCCCAAAAAGCUGGAAGCGACUUGGUUUAGAAAAGCAAAGUAAUUUACGGGUAAAAAGCAAUAGACGAUGUUCAACAAAAAAAGAAAAGAAAAGGAGAGGGUGGCAUGAUUUUUUGAAAAAGAAACGGGAUAAAAGAAGAGAAUAUUGUCAUAAAGAAAGAUUGAUUGUAGUUCGAUUGGUGCACAAGUUCCACCUCUUGGGACUUGGUCAUUCGCAUGUGAUAACUAUACUCAAUAGUCAAUAACAAC
rnacentral:lncRNA from 1 species